UUAUAUACAGGGUCAAGCUCUCAAAAAUGAUAAAGAGCAUGACAAUUUUUAACCAUUUUUUUUCAACCACCCAAAAAAACCCUAAACCAAAAAUGAGUAAUAAUACUUCUCAAAUUCACAUUAACCUGAUAUUUUUAGAGCUAGAAAAAGGUUGCAAGUCAUAACUUUGGUUAAACUGAAGGCAGCUUUGUCUAUUCAACCACCACUAAUCUUACAAUUUGAUGGGAAAGUUGUAGCACUGUAUGUUAUGUAAAGGGUUAUUACCCUUUGGUUUGAGAAACAAAAUUUUGGUACAUUGCUCUCAAUACACUACAUGCAAAAAGGAACAUACAAAAAUGUAGCAGCUAUGAUAAAUGAAACAUUGUUAAAGUAUGUUACCCAAUAAAUAUCUCAUAUUAUUUGUAACACCAGCUCUCAAUACAGACGGAUCUUAUGAUGGGUUUGAUGAAAUAAUAGAGAUUUUAUGGCCUGAUCUAUUUAGCCGACCUAUUUUUUACUAAAGUAUUAAUUUUCCUCUUGCCAACACCAGCAAAAUGGCCUGCUUUAACUGAUUUUAAGUUUAUAAAGAAACUUAAAGUAUUCACAAUUAAAAGAAUUGUACAACGUUCUGCAUAAAAUUUGGAUUCCGAUAUUUUACACAAUCCGUAGCUGCGACAAAUCUGCCCUAUUCUCAUUAAGCAACUUGGAACAGCAGAGCUGCUUAUCUCUUACUUGAGUACUUCCUAAUACUUGAAAAAAUAACAUAACUGAAAGAAAUUGUAAAAUUUUUCAGCUGUUUUUAGUCAAAUGCAUAAUUUAAAACGAGGGAGAAACUAAAUUGGACAAGCCUGAAAGAAACUACUUCAAUCUUCAUUAAAUCACAAGAAGGUUUGACCGGACAAAUCCUUAUGGUGAAAGUCAAAAAAAAAAUGUCAAAUGAUGCCCUCUAGAGAACUUUCUAAACCGAAAUGUUUAUUAAACUGUCUAACCAAGAAUAAUUAAACUUAACAAAAUUUGUUAUUGAUUUGAAGUUUAUAGGGGAAAUUAAGGUACAGUGGAUGGAGGGGUACAGUGAAUAAGAGGCAUUUUCUCGAAGAUUAAAGUUUUGUUCAUCUUGACAAUGUAAUCAUUUUAUGUACUCAUAUAUCAGCAAUCUUUAUUUAUAGUUGUUACAAUAAAAUUUUUGA